GAACGCUCUUUGGCAGUUUAUCGUCAGAGGGAGUGGCAAACGGGUGAGUAAUACGUGGACAAUCUUCCCUCGAGCGGGGGAUAACUCCGGGAAACCGGAGCUAAUACCGCGUGAGACCACGUCCUGGCAUCAGGAUGGGGUUAAAGCUCCGCAAGGGGCGCUUGAGGAGGGGUUCACGGCCUAUCAGCUAGUUGGCGGGGUUAAAGCCCACCAAGGCGACGACGGGUAACCGGUCUGAAAGGACGACCGGUCACAAUGGCACUGAGACACGGGCCAUACUCCUACGGGAGGCAGCAGUGGGGAAUCUUGCGCAAUGGCCGAAAGGCUGACGCAGCGACGCCGCGUGUGGGAUGACGGCCUUCGGGUUGUAAACCACUGUCGGAAGGGACGAAUGCCCCGCAAGGGGAGUGACGGUACCUUCAAAGGAAGCACCGGCUAACUCCGUGCCAGCAGCCGCGGUAAUACGGAGGGUGCGAGCGUUGUCCGGAAUCACUGGGCGUAAAGGGCGCGUAGGCGGCCCGGUAAGUAGGGGGUGAAAUCUUGCGGCUCAACCGCAAGGCUGCCUUCUAGACUGCCAGGCUCGAGCACAGUAGAGGCAGGUGGAAUUCCCGGUGUAGCGGUGGAAUGCGUAGAGAUCGGGAAGAACAUCAGUGGCGAAGGCGGCCUGCUGGGCUGUUGCUGACGCUGAGGCGCGACAGCGUGGGGAGCAAACAGGAUUAGAUACCCCAGUAGUCCACGCUGUAAACGAUGGAUGCUAGCUGUUAUGAGUAUCGACCCUCGUAGUAGCGAAGCUAACGCGUUAAGCAUCCCGCCUGGGGAGUACGGUCGCAAGAUUAAAACUCAAAGGAAUUGACGGGGACCCGCACAAGCGGUGGAGCGUGUUGUUUAAUUCGAUGGUAAGCGAAGAACCUUACCAAGGUUUGACAUCUCUGGAAUCUCUUCGAAAGAAGAAAGUGCCUUCGGGAACCAGAUGACAGGUGUUGCAUGGCCGUCGUCAGCUCGUGUCGUGAGAUGUUUGGUUAAGUCCAUCAACGAGCGCAACCCUUAUAGUUAGUUGGAUUUCUCUAGCUAGACUGCCUCGGCAACGGGGAGGAAGGAGGGGAUGAUGUCAGGUCAGUAUUACCCUUACACCUUGGGCUACAAACACGCUACAAUGGCCGGUACAAAGGGCAGCUAAGUCGCGAGACGGAGCAAAUCCCAUCAAAGCCGGUCCCAGUUCGGAUAGCA
rnacentral:rRNA from 1 species